rnacentral:lncRNA from 1 species
AAAAGAAGCCCGUGGCUUGCCAGAAGCAGUUGUCUGUAUUAGAGGGCACAUGAUUGAAAACUUAGGCUUCAUCAAAUAAUGGUUUUUGAGAAAGCCCUGGACAGCGUGCCUCCUCCUUUUCCUUAGAGCCCCAGAUCUGACUUAGGCACAAGUAGAUAGAUGUACUGUGCUGCAGCCUGGGAAAGAAUGCGGCUUAGGAGAGAUUGACUGAGGAGACCAGGAAGCACCGGCUCUACUUUCAUAUGAUUUAUCUCACUAAGGACAAAACAAAGGCUAUUAACAUGCUUCAUCUCUUGCUGAAAAGAUUCAGUAAAUUCCCCGUGUUUGCAAUGAGUUGCUAUAAAGAAUAGCAGUGGCCGUGGCAUAUCUCUUCAUUAACACUGCUGAAGCCACAAAUGAUUUUCUGAGCCAAGUGCUGGGCAAGCAGCAACACAAAUUUCAAUUUUACUGGUUGCAGCAAGCCUCUUCACGCAGUGGCUUUGGUUUCCAAAAAUAAAUAAACUACCGUGUCGGGCAUAUAGAAUUUCUAGAAAUGUGAAACUGAACACUCAGUGGAAGCUGCAUGUUGUUUGAACAUCAUCUUUUUGCCCUAUUCUGUUCUCUCUUGUCUGGGUGACGGAUGCCCAUUGAGGUCUGGAAUGAUCAUGGAGCUCACAUGAUAUUUAGUGCAUACUUCAUCAUGGGUCACAGUCAGGUGGAAACAAGAAUCUCUACAUAUGAACCUCAUCAACUUGAUCUUGCAACAAAGGGACCCAUGUCAUAUGACAAUUGAGCAGACUGAGGGGUGCUCCUUGGCCUGGAAAAGAGGAUUCCUUUUUACAUUGGUACAUUGAAUAAUAAUGGAUUGUGUAGACAUGUGAGCCAGCAUAGGAAAGACCCUGCUCUCGGGUCUCUCCAUGAUCUCUUAGCCAUGCCCUUUCCCUAAUUCAGAGACACAGUCAGGGCCUUUCUACAUGAUUUCCUUUGGGUAUUCUUUACUCUAGCUUUCCUGUCAACUUGCCUUAGCUAUGAUCUCAUCUAUGCGUCAUCAUGGCUGUCAGUUCUGCAAGCACUUUUCUGAUUCUUCUGUUACUUCUAAAGGAACUGACUUAUGCUACAUUUAUACAUACAUUUAAUUUGUAAAAUGACUUAUACAUACAUUUAAACUUUUAGAGUCUGAGUUUUGUGAGCACGUAAAGGAAUUGUCAAUUGUGACAAUUGUGAAUUGUGAGCUAUUUUAUUAAAUCUAAAUGGAUAUAAGUUCAGAAAUACAGUCUAUCCACUCUUGUGAGUGACUGGACCCUUUGUGGAUUUUGCAAAUGAAUUAAGACUGCAUUACUAUACAAUGUGGCAAGGAUUAGCUCCAUAAGAGAAGUGAACACAGAAACCAGAAAAGGGUGUUAAAUUCUUUGGAAGUGAAAUUGCAGAGUGUUGUUAGCUGGUCGAUGUGGUUACUACAAACAGAACUCAGGUUCUCUGAUACAGCAGUGAGAAAAUUUAACCAAUGAUCAUCUCAAAGCCUCUGAAAAAUUCUUUACAGCAGCCUUGGUUUCUAGUCUCCUAGUUAGUGUCUCCUAAAAUUUCAGUGUUCUUUAAAAGAAGCAUAAACUAAUUCAAAGUUGGCAUUUGUCAUAUUUCAAUGAUUAUAGUUUACUUACUGAUUGGUUAUUUACCCCACAGAGACCAUGCUAGUCUGACAUAAACUGUCCAACAGAGAAAAGACAGUCCACACCUGCACAGGUCAGGACAUUGUAUUCUCUAUGAGACUGCAUCUCUCUGGGCUAUUGCAUUCACCAGUUUUUACAAAAGCAUGGAUAUGUAAAUACUGGUAUAUAGAGUCAUAAAUGCAUUAUCGGUUAUCGGUUGCUUUCCAUACUAAUCACCCACCCAGCUUUCCCUAAUUAUGGAUGAGUAGAUACAUGAUGUGGGAUAGAUGCUGUAAGCAUCGUUCCCUUCCCUCCCCAGGAUCUCAGGCACUUCAGAUUCACUGUCUGCCACUCCAGAAAUUUCUUGUAGUACUAUCUCAUUCCCAUUGACCCAGUUCUUCAUUGUCUAGUACACUGUGAAGGCCAUGCAUUCUCAGAGCUGCAUGACUCUCUAUGUGAUAGAGGGACGUUCAGUUCCUGUGGCUCUCCCCGUAUACAGCUACAGAGGGAAAGUAGCAACACCACAACCCUCCUGCUCUCUCUGACGUGUCUAAACCAUCUGGCCGUCCACUCUGUUGGGAACGGCUCAGUUCACUGGGCUUUGUACUAGGCAACACCUGAGUGCAGAAACAGCCCGGGAGCAGCAAUGUCAGCGAGUUGUGUUUGUUCUUCUCCCAGCGAGGACAAUGCUCCAGGGCUACACACAACAUAAUUCUUCUUUUACUAGUUAGUUGACUGAGUUGUACACAGACUUUGUUAUUGAGAGCUGCCUCUUAGUCUGGAGGACUGUAUAGGUUUAACUUCUACUUAGCUGCUUUUUCUUUUUCUUUUCUUUUUUUUUUUUUUUUCAUUUUUGGAACAGAAAUCCAAUUCACAUAAUUCUCUUACAGGAGAGCAUGGGCCCUGCACUUAGACUCUCAAGCUUGACUCUGAUGGAUUCAAUGGACAAUACCAGGUCCUCCAAUGGUUCUCUAGUAUGGCUCCCCAUUCCACCUCUGUAUCCUCUAUUCAUGUCCUCUACUCUCCCUGUAUAGACGCUAAUCUUCCUUUUUAAUCAGCCCAAUUCUGCACUGGCUUUGUUUUAGCAUUAUUAUUAAAAGACAAAGCUAACAAUAAUAAUGCAUUCAUGAAUACGCCCACCUUUUACUUUUUCCCAAUAUACCCAGCCAGAGAAAUUAAAAAGGCCCCAUUAGGGUCCUCAAAAUAUUUAUGAGGAAUCAAGAAAAUGCCACAACAGAUUUCAGGAACUGCCUGCUCCCUGGCUCAAGUACACAGCUGUAUGCUUCUGAGCUUUGGAGCCCAACAGCUGGAGCUGGAGCUGAAGCUGAUCAACCCUGUUCUGAAUAAUAACAUCAGCUCAGGAAAAAAUCACUUCAUCUUGCCAAAGACAGUGCUAGCUUUUAUAUC